rnacentral:rRNA from 1 species
CUACGGGGUGCAGCAGUGGGGAAUAUUGGGCAAUGGGCGCAAGCCUGACCCAGCAACGCCGCGUGAGGGAAGAAGGUUUUCGGAUUGUAAACCUCUGUCCUUGGGGACGAAGAAGUGACGGUACCCAAGGAGGAAGCUCCGGCUAACUACGUGCCAGCAGCCGCGGUAAUACGUAGGGAGCAAGCGUUGUCCGGAAUUACUGGGCGUAAAGGGUGCGUAGGCGGCAUAUUAAGUCAGGUGUGAAAUACUCGGGCUCAACCCGGGGGCUGCAUUUGAAACUGAUAUGCUUGAGUGUGAGAGAGGAAAGUGGAAUUCCUAGUGUAGCGGUGGGAUGCGUAGAUAUUAGGAGGAACACCAGUGGCGAAGGCGACUUUCUGGCUCAUAACUGACGCUGAGGCACGAAAGCGUGGGGAGCAAACAGGAUUAGACACCCCGGUAGUC